UACUUCUGAACGGGGUUUCAACACACUGUACCUUCACAGAAAUCAGGCUGGUGGUGACCUUCGUGGGUCAGAAAGUGAGAGCACAGAUAAAAGCUUGUAAUCAAGAUUUUACAGUAAGAUGAAAGGAAGAAAGAAGGAUGGAAAUCCUCAUCCCUAGACCUUCAAGGACAAAUCGUAUAUUUUACAUCACCAUCAACGGAUAAAAAAAAUUCCCCAUCGUGGCAGUCCUCUAAUACCUUGGGACAAGGCUAUUAGAGGAUAAUCCUAGCCUAAAACACAACCCUGUGCUGAAGCAUUGGUUCUCCUAAUGCUGCAGGAUACAAUUACAGAACAAGGCCUGGAAACCACAGCCUUUGUUCUGCCUUAUUGCUUAAUUGUUUAAUGAAGUAUUCACUUCAUCUAAGUGAGUGCUUUGUAAUUUUGAAGUUGCAUGCAGCUGGCAGUGGCAAUAAGCAAAGAACUGGCUUUUUUACAGAAUAAUUUGUUCUCUUGGUAAAAGAAGGAACCAUUAAAGAUACCUGGCUCUGAUAGUAAAUAAUCUGAGAGAUCUCCACAUAAAAGGGAAAUCUCACCCUUAAAAGUGAGGAAAGAAAGGACAUUUGUUACUGCUUUUUUUUUCUUUCUUUUUUUUUUUUUUUUCCUACCCUCUUCCCCUUGUUGCUGAUCCUGCACUAGCAGCUCAGUUCCUAAGGUCAGGACACUGGUGCGACUUGAACUUCUAACACUGGAAUGGGAGAGACAUUCCUGACUAAAAAAAAAAAAAAAAUAGAAAAGCAGUAGCACAGUUCUACUCUUGAAGGUGUCCCUGUGCUCAGAUUAUGGUGUCAGACCCCAACUCCCAAGACUCUGCUGUACGUACCAUUGUGAAAUCCACGGAUGACAGGAAGGAAGCCACCGUGCAGCGUCCCUGGGAGCAUCAACAAGCGGUGUGGUGCAGGGUACCUGCGUGCACAUGUGCUGAGCGGUUCCUGCCUGUGCCAGCGUACGGAGGCCUCCCUAUUUUGCUUUAUCUGCGCUCACUCCAAGCUGCCUCUGUAGUCUGUUCUUGCAGCUGGAAGAGCUCCUGCUGUGCCUCGGCGUGCGCAGUCCAUCUGGACUAACACCUUCAGCAGUUCUCCUCUCUGCCUGGCAGACUGGCCCAGCGGUGUGACAAGCCUCUUAGUUCACCACGGAGCCGUGGGGAAGUUGAGUCACGGAGAGAUGAUGUCCUGGAGGUCACCUGUUAAGCAGGGUGGAAAAGGUCCAGUCUGCUGGGAGGUCUUUGCAAGUCUCUUGUUCUCUCCAGAACCUCCUAACAAUCUACAGAACCUCAUUUGGAUCUAAAAUAAAACUGUCCAGAAAGCCAGAACAGUCAGGCCUUCGGAAACUGUGCUCUGCUGAAUGGUCCAGGUCCCCAAACACAUCUGUAUCUCUCACAGGUGUUUUCGUUAGAGCAGAACAAGGUGUCCUCUUGCUUCCAAAAAUCUGAGAAUUUGGUACCAAGAAGCUCAUCGUGAUUAUGAGAUCGCAAUUGGUCCUCCAGCAUAAUCGAUGUGGGUUCAAAGACAGGGGCUGCAGUGAAAGUGGAACAGAAGAGAAUUUAGAGCCGUGGCUGGCAUGACUUUGGGAGCGCUUUCUCACACGUGUUACAACUCAGAGAGCUGCGUGAUUGAACCAAGGGCUCCUUCCCCCUGAGCAGUCAAGUAGAAACACGACAUUGGCAGCAUUGGUAACAGAAUAACCAGGAAUUGCUUCAAGAUCUGAGCUGUUAUUGCCCUCUGCUGACCGUUUGCUAUAUAGUGCCAGCACUUUAUUUUCUGCUAAGGUGCAAAGAUUUCCGAGAAUCUGUAGUAAAUUGAAGGAGCCUCUCUUGGACAGAGAAUUAUUAUUAUUACUAUUAUUAUUUAAUUGUUUCAUAUUUGGCUUCUCACUGUUGUAACUGGGUACAUAUCACUCAGUCCUCAUCACAGGUGAGUCCAAUCUGAGCAGUUGUGCCAUGGCCCUGGCUGCUCACAUAGCAACAACCAAUUUUCCCCUGCAGAGCUUUCAGUCUACAGAGACGAGACAGGAAAAGGACAGGAAAAAAAGAAUGAUCAGCCCCAUUAUGUAUAGUUGCUGAGGUACUGAAAGAUCUAGCUGAGCUCAUGAAAAGGGGCAGCUCUGUUACCCUGCUUGGAAGCUGUUGUCAGAUGUAUUCAAAGCAGAAAUAAACUACAAGUUCUGACUGCAAGGAGAAUGGAUCACACACUGUUGGCAUCUUUUUUUUUUCUUUUCUCUUUUUCUUUUUUCCUUUUUCCUUCUUCUUUUUUUUUCCCCCCCCCUCUUCACAAGGUUAGAUAUUUUCUUAGCUCAACCAAAGUCGCGAUUCAGUCAAGUACCAGUUAGAGGUAAACAGGCCAAGAAGCAAUAAAUAGGAGGUUGGAGCAGUCACAUUUCUUGGGCAUUGGCUUGCUGAGGGUCACAUUGGAGUUUUGUGAGAAAGCCAGGAAGUGAAUCUUUUUUUGUUGUUGUUGUUCUUGUCCAGGGCUGUAAAAACAUUUUUUUCCUCUUCUUUAUGUUUCAGAAUCAUCUAACAAAUGGCUUGUAAAAAUGUAUUUAAAUGUUAUAGUGAUGAACAGGGCAGAAAGAUCUUGGACUUUUAAAAAAGAUUUCUUUAACCUGUGAAUUGCUACUGAGCUGUUCACCAGGACUUUUGCUGUGGUAAAUUUACUCUUUGGAUUUUGCUUCUUUAGUAGUUAUGAGUGGGUAAGUGAAUAAAUUGGUGUUGUAUUUCAGCCAUCAAGCGCCUCAGACAGGUUUCAGGCUGUCCAUUGAAAUAUUACUGGAUUGCCUACUCUGAAUAAAUGCUGACAUGAAAAACCACUAAAAGCAUACAGGUCUAUCCACAGACAGCACACAAAGAGGAUGGUUGUCUUCCACAACUUCCAUUUUACCACACUAAAUACAUUGUUUAUUUGUUUGUUUGUUUUUACAGUCUGUGUUAGAGGAUAAGUCUACUCUUGCUGCCAGACAAAUGCUAUUCCCUAACUCACACUGGAGGGGCUUCUAAUUUUAGCAAUUAAGACCACAGUUUCCAAGCCCAAAUAUGGAGAGGAGACAUUAAAAUUUCAAUUUCUGAACUGUAGUGGUGUUACUAUAGGGUAUAGCAAUAAUAAUAGUGAUGAUAAUAACAAUAAUAGUUACAAUAAUUAAUAGUAACAUCAGGCCAAUGAAUAAGGGGCUGAUUGUCCUUGCUUGAAUAUUCUUGCUGGUCCCAUUGAAAAAGGGGUAAACUAGGUUAGUUUUCCAGUCCUCUGCAUUGGUGGUCUGGAUAAGUGGUAUAAUAUGGAAAUAGCACAGAAAAGACACUGUAGAAAAGCUUACAGGCAGCACUGAGUGGGAAAUGUAGCAGGGACCACCUGUUUAAAUGGAAGGAUGAUUGUGGGAAAAGAAUUAUAGGGGCUAGGGAAAACAGAAUAGGAAGAAAAACCUCUGGGAAUGGGAAGUGGAGACAGGAAGAGAAAGGUACUGUGGAGGCACACUGCAGGGUAAGUGAGAGAGAGUAUUCACCAGGAAGUGAAGGUGAUAAAUCCACCUAGUCAUUAACAAAGUCUAAUGUAGUAAUGCCAUUAUGUUUUGCUGUGUGCACCCUCCACACUAGGAAAAAUCCACAAUGAAGCUUGGAAAACUCUGCUGGUGCUAGACAGGAGAGAAUAGGCAGGUGGUAUGUGAAGUAUCAUUCAGUGUCCAUAAUGAGAGUGAUUUUGGGCCAGGAAGUGGAGAACACCGGAGCAGCAACCCGAUGUGAUAUUGAGCAAGAUAAUGGUCAGAAAGAACACUGCCAGGCUCCUAAUGAGAAACUGUUGACAGUAAAAUUACCCCAACAUUCAUCAAAAAGCCAAUAAAUGUCAAGCAUGGGGCCUUUGAUGCAGUGGCUCAUAAUUCCUGUUCAGAAGCCUUUGCAGGCUUUUCAGGGCACGUGACCAUGCCGCAUUUCUGCUGAUUUUACUGAAACCUUUGUUGCUGAAGAAGUACAAGGAGCAGCUGUUCACGUUCUGGAUGCCAUUGUUCCAGUGCCACUGGCUUACUGUGAGACCUCAAACAGAGCACGUCUGGCAUCAGUUUCCCCAUCUGGAGUACAGGAAUCACCAUAUAGGAAUUACCCAAAGGCAAUUCUGUACAGGACACGGUGUUGCCAUCCAAAUGCUCAGAAAUCAUGAGCUGGACCACAAAAACUAUGAUCUCGACUUUUGCCAAUGAGUCAGUCAUCCACGUUUUUGUGCCUUUGUAGUACACGUUCUCAAGCUCUCUCCUCCACAGGAACAGAAGGUUUCUUCAAACCAACACCAAACCAAUUCUCAGUCAGCCAAAUUCUGGGCCGGGCUGCCUUGAGAAAACCACAUGAAGCUCAUGCAAAAUUCCCAAAUGAGACUGUCUCCCAUUCUGUUCUUUGGCUCUGUUGAACGUGAAAGUUAUAAACACCUUGCCCAACUCCUGAGUCCUCUGCCCAACUGCCUCUUCAGCAUAUAUCCCCAAAAUGAUGCGAUGAGGGACAAUAUUGACUAGUCCAUGAAUUAGGAACAACCUUGUGCUGUGUUUAUUCUACCUAUCUCUGCACCCUGGCUUGUCUGCCUUGUUCAUGAGAGGAUCGCAUCCUCCAGAUUUUGCCUAAGGAUCUUUUCUAAAAUUUCCACGUAAAGACUGAAAGGACUUUUUAUAAGGCCUCUGCUUCACUGACACUUUGAGCUCAGUGGAUGGUUCAUUACGUUCAUCCAGGCAAUUCCUCGCUUGCAUUUUCUCUACAUUUCCAUACUAGCUGCUCCCAGAAAACCUGUACCUUUCUGACAUUUGCAGGGAUGAGCUGCAUCCCAGAGGCUCUGCGCAGAUGGAGUCAUACUUAGUUUACAGAGAAGCCUGAGUGCAUGCCACAUGCUAUUAGGGUCACUUGAAACUAGGCUAAUUACCUGGCAGACCGCUGCAGAGCAGACUCUUUAAUAGAAAUGAGUGGGUGACAAGGGCUAGACUCCUUGCUAUUUCAGGACAGACUGUCCCUUAGGCAGCAGAUAGCCACAGCGGUAAGGCUCCCAGUCUAUCAUUUGGUUUGUUGUUUCUUGGCUGUGGAACUUAAUUAAAAAUUCUGGAACCGUUCGGUUUCCCAGGAAUGGCCUGUAAAUCUGUUAAAUUAAACAGUAAAGGCAGAUGUGGGGAAAAAAAAUUACAAGUCAGAAAUGAAAAAUGAUGUUGCUUUGUCAAUCCAUAGGGGCCAGUGCGGGAAUGUUCCAAAGCCUUCUGAAGCUCUUCUCUGUCUAGCAGUUCAAGCAAGAGGGAAAUAUUCCUACCAUUUUGGGAACUGAUGAUCACUAAUUACAUAAUUACGUUAUUGCACAAAAUAGUAGAAACGAAUACUGUGGAAGCUGAGUUAAAAUGCACUAAUAAAUAUUUUUCCCUUAAAGAUCAGGAAGGUACAACACAACCAUUUGUUGUAUCUCAUAAUAUACCAGUGAAUUAGACUGGAAAAGACCACGACCCUAGAAAAGCAGUAUUCUUAAGGACCUGACCUCAGCCAUCUACAGCUCUGUGCUUCCUCAACUCCCACGGAUUUGACUCGUGGAGGAGCUUGAGGCAUUGUUUGGUAUUUUACAUGGAAAGCCAAUGAUAAGGUAACACUGCUACCCUCUGCGUAUCCUCUAAAUAACCAGUACACCAUUUCCAAUAGUUAAUUUCUCUCCCAUCACCAUUUUGUCUUGUUAAAGCAUGCCUGUUCUUAAUUUUACAUAGCACUGCUCACUUCGAAUAACGCUAAGGAUACCUACAUGCCUUUGUAACACUAGUCUCAUGAGGCCAUUCAAAUCCAACAAAUCGAUGCGCAGGAAUAACAAGACCAGAUUCAAUUCCA